rnacentral:rRNA from 1 species
CUAUACAUGACUCUGCGCAUAUCAAUAAGCGGAGGAAAAGAAACUAACAAGGAUUCCCCUUAGUAACGGCGAGUGAAGCGGGAAGAGCUCAAAUUUGAAAUCUUCAAGGUUUUACCUUGACGAAUCGUAGUUUAAAGAAGUGUUUUCUGUUGGAGUUUCGGUAAAAGUUCUUUGGAAUAGGACAUCAUAGAGGGUGAGAAUCCCGUAUUUGGUCAUUCCUCCUAGCGUUGUGAUACACUUUCAAAGAGUCGGAUUGUUUGGGAAUGCAGUCCAAAAUGGGUGGUAAAUUUCAUCUAAAGCUAAAUAUUGGCGAGAGACCGAUAGCGAACAAGUACCGUGAGGGAAAGAUGAAAAGAACUUUGAAAAGAGAGUUAAACAGUACGUGAAAUUGUCAAAAGGGAAGCGUUUGACACCAGUGUUGUUUUCUCGAAAAUCAAUUAAAAAUGGCGGGAUUUUGUGUUGUAUUGACUUUAUCAGCUUUCUGCACUUUUUUCCUGUCUUUUUUAAUGCACUUUUCGUUUAACAAGUCAACAUCAAUUUCUUUUGUUGUAAAAGGGUCAUUGGAAGGUGGCUUUCUUUUCGGAGAAAGUGUUUAUAGCCUUUGACUUCUGCAAUCGGAGAGAUUGAGGUCUGCAGCGUAGAUCCUUCGGGGUUAGAUGCAUUUGUGCUAAGUUAUAGCCUUUCAUAGACAACUUGUUGACUAUGAUCAGUCAUGUAGCUUACUCGCUUAUGUUAUUUUACCUACGCUUAGGAUGUUGAAGAUAUGCGCGACACGACUCUAUACAUGACUCUGAGCAUAUCAAUAAGCGGAGGAAAAGGCAAGAUCAGAUACCUACGCUUAGGAUGUUGAAGAUAUGCGCGACACG